rnacentral:SRP_RNA from 14 species
CCAAGCCGGCCAGGACCGGAAGAUAGCAAGGCUUCGCAAAG